rnacentral:rRNA from 1 species
GACGAACCGUGCGAACGUUAUUCGGAAUCAUUGGGCUUAAAGGGCGCGUAGACGGGCGACCGCGUCGAGUGCUGAAAUCCCCCGGCUCAACCGGGGAACGGGCCUCGAGACGGGUCGCCUCGAGUGGAGGAGGGGGACCCGGAACGUCCGGUGGAGCGGUGAAAUGCGUUGAGAUCGGACGGAACGCCGACGGCGAAAGCAGGGUCCUGGACUCCGACUGACGUUGAGGCGCGAAAGCCAGGGGAGCGAACGGG